GUGCCAGCCGCCGCGGUAAUACAGGGGGUGCAAGCGUUGCUCGGAAUCACUGGGCGUAAAGCGUGCGCAGGCGGAACGUUAAGUCGGGUGUGAAAUCCCGGGGCUCAACCCCGGAACUGCAUUCGAAACUGGCGAUCUUGAGUGCGGCAGAGGUGAGUGGAAUUCCUGGUGUAGAGGUGAAAUUCGUAGAUAUCAGGAGGAACACCGGUGGCGAAAGCGACUCACUGGGCCGACACUGACGCUCAUGCACGAAAGCGUGGGGAGCAAACAGGAUUAGAUACCCCCGUAGUCC
rnacentral:rRNA from 1 species